AUAUCACAAAAGUGAACCAAGUCAUGUCUUGCCAUAUUUUCUAGGUAAAUAUGAUAAGUUACAACCCAUACUAGAAAGAAGAUACGGACCAUUCCAUUCCCUAUCUAUUCAUGAAUAUUUUCCCCUAAAAUAAAAAUUUGCAGGAAAAGAAAUUUUACCCAAAUUUGUAUAAGGUUGCUCUAUGCAUAUGAUUCCAAUUCUGAUCCUGU
rnacentral:misc_RNA from 1 species